GGCAGUUAACCCCUCUUUUCGGUGCACACUUCACUCACAACUUAAAAAAUAGGUUGGAAUAUUGUUUGUGAAUGUAUUGCACCGAGCACAGACUACAUACUAUUCACCGAGAUCAAGACUUGCAGUUGAUUUUCAAGAACAUUUAGAUUGUGAUAUUAAUAAUGGCCGAAGACGUGCAAAGACAUUCAGUACAUACUUUAGUAUUCAGAUCCCUUAAGAGGUCUCAUGAUAUGUUCCUAGCAAAUCAGGGGCUUCUGCCCCCCGUUGACGAAAAAGCAGAGAAUGUAAGACGCACAGUUAAAGCAAGAGAUUUUUAUGGACUAGUUUUUGACGACGUUAAGAAAAUGCAAGCAAUGAAGAACCUCAGAGAAGCUGAAGCAGGACCAAAUCCUCCACCGCCAGGGACAGAUCAUCAAGAGAAUAGCAUCAAUGAGAACGCAGUGGUUCCAUAUAUGGAAGCCCCACUGGCAACUAGAGGGCAACAAAAUAACCAGAACCAACUAGCGAAUAUUAUUAAAAAAUCGCCCGCUAUGCCUAAACCCAAAUGGCAUCCACCGUGGAAGUUGUACAGAGUGAUUGCUGGGCAUUUGGGGUGGGUUCGUUGUGUCGCUCUGGAACCUGGAAAUGAGUGGUUCGCAACUGGAGCAGCAGACAGAAUUAUAAAAAUUUGGGAUUUGGCCUCCGGCCAACUGAAAGUAUCAUUGACUGGCCACGUUAGCACAGUAAGAGGGCUGGCUGUAAGUACAAGACACCCUUACUUGUUCAGCUGCGGAGAAGACCGACAAGUAAAGUGCUGGGAUUUAGAAUACAACAAAGUUAUUCGACAUUAUCAUGGCCAUUUAUCUGCCGUAUAUUCCUUGGCUUUGCACCCCACAAUCGAUGUGCUGCUGUCAGCAGGCCGAGACUCAACAGCGAGGGUAUGGGACAUGAGAACCAAGGCGAAUAUCCACACUUUAACCGGCCAUUCUCACACAGUGGCGAAAGUAAUCGCACAGGCUUCUGAGCCGCAGGUCAUUACAGGCUCGCAUGACACCACUAUUCGCCUGUGGGAUUUAGCGGCUGGAAAGUCCAUUUGCACUUUAACAAAUCACAAAAAGAGUGUCAGGGAUUUGGUGUUCCAUCCCACCCUAAAUAUGUUUGCGUCUGGUUCUCCCGAUAACAUCAAGCAAUGGAAAUGCCCUGAUGGCAAAUUCAUUCAGAACUUAUCUGGUCACAAUGCCAUCAUCAAUUGUUUAGCUGUAAAUGCUGAAAGUGUCUUAGUGUCCGGCGGCGACAAUGGAACUUUACAUUUUUGGGACUGGCGUACAGGGUACAAUUUCCAAAGGCUGCAAGCCCCCGUUCAACCCGGUUCAAUGGACAGUGAGGCCGGUAUUUUCUCAAUGACUUUCGACAAUUCCGGUUCGAGGCUCAUUACUACUGAAGCGGACAAGACUAUUAAGAUCUACAAGGAGGAUGACACUGCCACUGAAGAAACCCACCCUAUUAACUGGAAACCCGACAUUCUGAAGAGAAGGAAGUUCUAAUUUUUAUACUUGAUGACCAAGAUGGAUGAAUAUCUCCUAUGGGUAAAAUAUGGGCAAUACCACAUUUUGUGAUGCGACAGGUGAUGAAAGAAGCAAAUAUCCGUCUGACUGCUCGUAACUUUGGCAACAAAGAAAGCUAGGCAACCGUUUUAAUGACGAUAAGUGGGGGCUCAUCAAAAUCUCUGUCUAAGAUGGGACUAAAAGGCCACAUUUCACCAGGAAUGAGGUGCCAGAAAUGUCUUGAAUAUGGACAUUGGUCAUUCCAAUGUAUAGCGCCGCGUAAGUUUGCAUAUAGAUCUUCAAGAUCGGAACUUCUCGAGCGAGCGAUGAAAGAAA
rnacentral:misc_RNA from 1 species